rnacentral:rRNA from 1 species
UACGUAGGGUGCGAGCGUUAAUCGGAAUUACUGGGCGUAAAGUGUGCGCAGGCGGCCGCGCAAGUCGAGUGUGAAAUCCCCGAGCUUAACUUGGGAAUUGCGCUCGAAACUACGUGGCUGGAGUGUGGCAGAGGAAGGUGGAAUUCCACGUGUAGCGGUGAAAUGCGUAGAUAUGUGGAGGAACACCGAUGGCGAAGGCGGGUCUCUGGGCCGAUACUGACGCUGAGGAGCGAAAGCGUGGGGAGCGAACAGG